rnacentral:lncRNA from 1 species
AGAUGGAUGGCACCUGCAAUGUCCAUCAAAAAUAAUGGACCCAUUACCAUUCACCUUAAUGGGAGGCUAUGAUCUAGUUAUUACCAUAACCAGCUCAUUUUAUGAACCUAAUAAUUUAAAAAAUUUGAUUAACAUAAUUUAACAGAAUUAAAUACACAGAUCAGCUAAUCUCAAUCCUCUCACUAACUUCAUCAAGUCAGAUCAGGAUGGGCUAGAAACAAGCUGGUCUAACUGACAAGUCAUCAAUCCUCCCACUAACUUCACCAACUCAU